rnacentral:rRNA from 1 species
AUUGAACGCUGGCGGCGUGCUUAACACAUGCAAGUCGAGCGGUAACAGGUGUAGCAAUACAUGCUGACGAGCGGCGAACGGGUGAGGAAUGCUUCGGAAUCUGCCUCGUAGUGGGGAAUAACUAGCCGAAAGGUUAGCUAAUGCCGCAUACGAACCACGGUUGAAAGCGGGGGAUCGCAAGACCUCGCGCUAUGAGAUGAGCCGAAGUCCGAUUAGCUAGUUGGUGAGGUAACGGCUCACCAAGGCGACAAUCGGUAGCUGGUCUGAGAG